GAUGAACGCUGGCGGCGUGCCUAAUACAUGCAAGUCGAGCGAACAGACGAGGAGCUUGCUCCUCUGACGUUAGCGGCGGACGGGUGAGUAACACGUGGAUAACCUACCUAUAAGACUGGGAUAACUUCGGGAAACCGGAGCUAAUACCGGAUAAUAUAUUGAACAGCAUGGUUCAAUAGUGAAAGACGGUUUUGCUGUCACUUAUAGAUGGAUCCGCGCCGCAUUAGCUAGUUGGUAAGGUAACGGCUUACCAAGGCAACGAUGCGUAGCCGACCUGAGAGGGUGAUCGGCAACACUGGAACUGAGACACGGUCCAGACUCCUACGGGAGGCAGCAGUAGGGAAUCUUCCGCAAUGGGCGAAAGCCUGACGGAGCAACGCCGCGUGAGUGAUGAAGGUCUUCGGAUCGUAAAACUCUGUUAUUAGGGAAGAACAAAUGUGUAAGUAACUAUGCACGUCUUGACGGUACCUAAUCAGAAAGCCACGGCUAACUACGUG
rnacentral:rRNA from 1 species